AGCACGGAGAGCGGGCUUCCAGCCGGCCGACACCAAAGAGGAGACCAGAGAGACUGAGUCAGCUCUCCCUGGCCCAGUUCCUCUUUCUCCGUGCUCCAGCUUUUGCGCAGGGGGUGCCUUUCCCUCGGCAGAGCAGCGGUCUGGGUGGUGCGCCCGCCCCUCCUCCACUCCCAGGAGGGAGCGCCCCUCGGCAGCGCCGCUCCCCCGCCUUCGCUGUCUGCAGCGAGCGCCCCCUCGGCCGCGGCCCCCCUUGCAGCGGGCGCACUCCCUGCCAGUGCCCACUCUUGCAGCGGUUCUUCAGAGAGUACUUCUGGAGUGAAAGUUCCCAGGACGGCGCUCACUCCUGCCGGGGUGGGCUUCCAGCGCCCUGGGCCGCCGCAACCAGGGGCCUCUACCUCCUGCAGGGAGCUCCCAGGCGCCGUUUCUGUCCCCAGCGGCGGGCGCUCCGGGGCACUGUCCCCCCCUCCCCCUGGUCUCCAGCCUGCCGGGGCAGCGCCACGCCCCUCCCCCUGGCACCAGGGACCCUCUUUACCCCCAUACGUCCAUCACGCCGAGGCAACCCCUUUCUCUCUGCGGGAAUUUCCCUUUUUGGCCAUGCCCCUGGCCCCGGCCCAGCCACAGCUGUGACCAGUCCCCCAGGGCCGGAUGGGUGGGCCUGCCUCACCGGGUUGGGGACUGGGAUGGAAAAUGGUGGUUCCAGGCAGAUUCUUGCGAUCUUCUCCAACUUCUGUGUUAACGGAUGAAAUUCCGGCUUCCUGAAGUGAAGUAAUUUGUUCCAGGCUACACACCUCAUCUCUCUUGGCACAGGUGUGGCUCCAGUGGCAAAGCCUGCCAGUGACGCUCCAGUGGCCAGGGAUGACGCUCCACCCACCAAUGACAAAGCUCCACCCAUCAGUGAUGACACUCCAGAGGCCAGUGACAAAGCUCCAGCGGCCAAAGACCCAUCCCCAACACCCUCAUGUAUAAUUUAGAAGUAAACUUCAGGAAGUCACGGUCCUUGUUGAUUGUGUCACUGCUGUUUUAUAACUACGGUCUGACCAGGUCCCAAGAGGUCUUGUCAGUCCUGGUGAAGACUCCAAGGGGAGCAGACAGCCCGGGAGCACAGGUGAGAUGCGAACCCUGGCAGGGGGGACAGGGCGGCUUGGGAGUCAGCCGCUUGGCUCUGCUGCCUUCCUGCACUCAGCCUGCACCAGUUCCUCUUUUCCCAUUGGAGGAUAUUUACCAGUAGAAGAUACCCAGGGCAGAAAGACAAGGAAGUGUGGGCCAUCUCCUGGAUCCGAUGUCAUUCCUGGUACCGAGAGAGUCUGAGGGAAGCAUGCUUUGCAGAGGAGAUCUGGAAAGGCUCCAAGUUCACAUAAGAUUCUUUGUUGAUGUACAAAUCCCGAAACUCUUUUAUGUAGUUGUAGCCCAUUUGAAAGUACAGUUUUGUGUUCUCCUCAUGGAGCCUUGCCCAUACGUAUUGCCACACAUAAUAGAUUUUUGUACAUGUUGUCUUCAGUGAAAGCAUUAGUCAAGUAGUUCUCCAUCUUUCCUUAAUCAGCUCUCAGUUUUAGGGAAGUUACAUACUUUCAACUUCCCUGAUAUACAAAAUGAGGCUCUAAACGUAUUUGUACAAAUUGCUCCUCCUCUCUUUUGAAUUAUUCCUUUGUGGCACAUUUAACAAAACGGAAUUAUUGGAUCAAACAGUAGGAGACAUUUUAUAGCUCUUGUUAGUGCCAAAUGAGGCAAUAUUUGGAGGGCAGGGGUCAUGAAACUCUUAUAAAAUAUUUAAAGAUUGGUUAUGAAGAGGAAUUUGACUUAUUCCGAUGGCGCACCAUGGCAGGGUGACAGGGAAAUCUUGCAAAUAUACAGAAAUAGAUAAGGUCCUAUGCAAAAGAGUUUUUAACAUUUAGAGCUGCCCCAAAUGGGACAAACUUUUUCCAUAGAUAGUAAGUCCCCCUUUGCUGAGAAUUUUAAGCAUAAUGAGUUUAAGAAAUAGAGAGAUUGCUUUCUAAGCUCUUCUGAUUUGUGAUCUGUAUAUUUCCCUAGCCUCAUUCCUUUGCGCCAAAACAGUUUGUUAAACGAGCAUUUAUUAAUACAUAACACGUUGCAGCUGCGUAGCUGCAGCCUCAAGCCCUCACUGACAGACGUCUAGCAGAUCCAGAGUCUCCUGCGGCAUCCAAUCUGGGGAUUCCAACGGCAGUGAAGCCAGAGCCUUCCACUGCCCCACACUCGAGAACGGCCAAGUGGGUGGGUCAAGGUGCUCCACUUCCUGGACAUCUCCUUUUCUGUGCUCCUGGUCUUCCUACAGAUCUCUGUUCACACUGCUCCUCUCCUACGACCCCCAGCACCAAGCUCUGCAUGUGCUGUGUGGAGCCAAGCCCAGCACCCACGGGAUUGACUCCAAAGGAUUGUUACAUUAUCUUGUUUUAUUUCUGUGAAAAGACAUUUGCAUUUCAGAUGAGGAGUUUGGAACUCCAAAGAAUCUGUAAUUGGGGGAAGCCAGCACUCCUAAUUUAGCUCCCACCAUGAACACAUGUUUACACACACUCUGUCUCUUCCAGGCAAACACUAGAAGUUCAUUUCUUGAAUGAACCAUUGCUUAACAACCUUUUUUCUUUCCUUUUUUUUUUUUUUUUUGUAAAACUACUUUGCGUGGUAAAAUAUAGUCUCAAAAUUCCAAGUUUGGCCUAGGAGGAAAAGUCCCCAUUGAGAAUGGAGUCUCAACCAUAAUCUCAGAAUUAUGCUUUUUCUAUUUUAUUUUAUUUUAUUUUAAUUUUAUUUUUUGACAGGCAGAGUUAGACAGUGAGAGAGAGAGAGAGAAAGGUCUUCCUUUUUCCGUUGGUUCACCCCCAAAGUGGCCGCCAUGGCCAGCGUGUUGUGGCCGCACGCUGCACUGAUCUGAUUAGCCUAGUGAGCUGUGGCGCCAGCCUUUGCUUUUCCUUAGAGCAUAUGUUGCUGAAUUCUUCUGCCACCACCACACUGGCCUCUGGGAAGGCCCCUUCCCCUCUCGCAGUUCCUCCAGAGUGCAUGUGAGACUGUCCCCAAGCCAGGAGAAGAACCCGUCUGUAGGCCUCACAGUGCAGACGGAGGAGAGCACAGGGGUGAGCUGGAAACCUGGGCUCCAUUCCAAUGGCCCCAGUGGCACCACUGCCGCCUGCACGCGCUUGAGCCUGAGCCUUGGCCGCUGCGUCAUCGGUGGCCUCCUUCCCUUCUGAAAGGCUCAGUAAAGUCAACAACCAUGGGAACACUUUGCAAAUAUCAUGGCCACAGCCAACUGUGCCGUGUGAACAUGCUGCAGAGAAUGGGUGGGUCUUGUCUUGUCAAUAUGAGUUUUUAAAAUGUCUCCUUUGUGCCCAACAGAGAAUAUUUAGAGGGCUGUUUGGCUUUUUAAAAUUUGUGUUCCUUAUGUUGAAGCUGUGAAUCAGAAGCCUAGUUCUCCCUUAAGCUUCUAUUUGUAAUGAACAAAGAAAUAAAAUCUAACAAUUGAAGAUUGCA